rfam:Populus trichocarpa scaffold_13_contig_186, whole genome shotgun sequence.
CAUGGAGGGAUCAAGUACAGGGAUGAACACUGAAUAGUGUCUGGGCUGCAAGACAGAUUUCAACUUCUCUAUUGUUGCUACAAUUUGAAUUUGAAAACGGUCCUUUUGAAUCUUGGACUCUUCAUGAAAGUUUUAUGCCUAUGUCUUAGCUUUCCAUA